rnacentral:rRNA from 1 species
GACGUAGGGCGCGAGCGUUGUCCGGAUUUAUUGGGCGUAAAGAGCUCGUAGGCGGCUUGUCGCGUCGUCCGUGAAAACCCGGGGCUCAACCCCGGGCUUGCGGUCGAUACGGGCAGGCUCGAGUUCGGUAGGGGAGACUGGAAUUCCUGGUGUAGCGGUGAAAUGCGCAGAUAUCAGGAAGAACACCCGUGGCGAAAGCGGCUCUCUGGAACGGUACUGACG